rnacentral:rRNA from 1 species
GGCAGCAGCUAAGAAUAUUCCGCAAUGGACGAAAGUCUGACGGAGCGACGCCGCGUGGAUGAUGAAGGCCGGAAGGUUGUAAAAUCCUUUUAGGUGCGAGGAAUAAGUAAGGUGAGAGAAACGCCUUAUGGUGACGGUAGCACCUGAAUAAGCAACGGCUAAUUACGUGCCAGCAGCCGCGGUAACACGUAAGUUGCGAGCGUUGUUCGGAAUUAUUGGGCGUAAAGGGCAUGUAGGCGGUAAUGCAAGUCUGGUGUGAAAUCCCGGGGCUUAACCCCGGAACUGCGUUGGAAACUGCAAUACUUGAGUCACUGAGGGGCAGGCAGAAUUCCUGGUGUAGGGGUGAAAUCUGUAGAUAUCAGGAAGAAUACCAAUGGCGAAGGCAGCCUGCCAGCAGAUGACUGACGCUGAGGUGCGAAGGUGCGGGGAGCAAACAGGAUUAGAUACCCUGGUAGUCCGCACAGUCAACUAUGUACACUGGAUGUCUGGCCAGAAGGCUGGGUGUCGAAGCAAACGCGAUAAGUGUACCGCCUGGGGAGUAUGCCCGCAAGGGUGAAACUCAAAGGAAUUGACGG